GGGCGUAAAGCGCGUGUAGGCGGUGCGGUUAGUUGGAUGUGAAAGCUCCCGGCUCAACUGGGAGAGGUCGUUCAAUACUGCCGCACUAGAGGACGGUAGAGGGAGGUGGAAUUCCCGGUGUAGUGGUGAAAUGCGUAGAUAUCGGGAGGAACACCAGUGGCGAAGGCGGCCUCCUGGGCCGUUCCUGACGCUCAGACGCGAAAGCUAGGGUAGCAAACGGGAUUAGAAACCCCGGUAGUCCUAGCCGUAAACGAUGUAGACUUGGUGUCGGUGGUGUAAGAACCAUCGGUGCCGCAGCUAACGCGGUAAGUCUACCGCCUGGGGACUACGGUCGCAAGGCUAAAACUCAAAGGAAUUGACGGGGACCCGCACAAGCAGCGGAGCGUGUGGUUUAAUUCGAUGCUACACGAAGAACCUUACCCGGGCUUGACAUGCAGGUGGUAGGAAGCCGAGAGGUGACCCACCCUUCGGGGAGCCUGCACAGGUGCUGCAUGGCUGUCGUCAGCUCGUGCCGUGAGGUGUCCGGUUAAGUCCGGUAACGAGCGCAACCCUCGCCGUAUGUUAUACGUGUCAUGCGGGACUGCCUGUAUAAAGCCGGAGGAAGGUGGGGAUGACGUCAAGUCCGCAUGGCCUUUAUGUCCGGGGCUACACACACGCUACAAUGGUCAGUACAAUGGGUUGCAAG
rnacentral:rRNA from 1 species